rnacentral:rRNA from 1 species
AUGCAGAAGAACCCAGCAGCUAUUGUUGCUGCUGCUGAUCAGUAUGAUUAUUAUCUCUGUUGUUGCAGGAGAAGGAACAUGCCCAGGAGAAGAAGGAGCACGCCCAGGAGAACAAGAAGGAGCAGGAUUAAGGCCCUAAGGACCUGGCAUCGCUGCUGCUGGACCUGGGACCUAGGAUUGCUGCUGCUGGACUUGGGAACUGGGAUUGCUGCUGCUGUGUGCCUCCUUGGCACCCCUGGAUCUGGGAUCGCUGCUGGAAACAAGGACCAGGGAUCGCUGCUGGAGGCGAGGACCUGGGAGCGCCUGGGACCUGGGCGCAUGGAGGAGAAGCAGGGGCAGGCGGAGGAGAAGCAGGGGCGGGCGAGCGGACGAUGGCCUGGUGAACGGGCGGGCUAUGGCCUCGCGGAUGGAGGAAGACGAUGGGGAUACCGAUUCAAACUAGGGGCAACGAUGUAA